rnacentral:rRNA from 1 species
UACGGGAGGCAGCAGUGGGGAAUAUUGGACAAUGGGGGCAACCCUGAUCCAGCCAUGCCGCGUGAGUGAAGAAGGCCUUCGGGUUGUAAAGCUCUUUCAGAUGCGAAGAUGAUGACGGUAACAUCAGAAGAAGCCCCGGCUAAUUUCGUGCCAGCAGCCGCGGUAAUACGAAAGGGGCAAGCGUUGUUCGGAUUUACUGGGCGUAAAGGGCACGCAGGCGGUCUUGCCAGUCAGGGGUGAAAGCCCGGGGCUCAACCCCGGAACUGCCUCUGAUACUGCAAGACUAGAGACUAGGAGAGGGUGGUGGAAUUCCCAGUGUAGAGGUGAAAUUCGUAGAUAUUGGGAGGAACACCAGAGGCGAAGGCGGCCACCUGGACUAGAUCUGACGCUCAGGUGCGAAAGCGUGGGGAGCAAACAGGAUUAGAUACCCUGGUAGUCCACGCCGUAAACGAUGAGUGCUAGUUGUCGGGACUUCGGUUUCGGUGACGCAGCUAACGCAU